GGUAAUACCGGAUGCUCCGCUCCAUCGCAUGGUGGGGUGGGAAAUGCUUUUGCGGCAUGGGAUGGGGUCGCGUCCUAUCAGCUUGUUGGCGGGGUGAUGGCCCACCAAGGCGUUGACGGGUAGCCGGCCUGAGAGGGUGACCGGCCACAUUGGGACUGAGAUACGGCCCAGACUCCUACGGGAGGCAGCAGUGGGGAAUAUUGCACAAUGGGCGCAAGCCUGAUGCAGCGACGCCGCGUGCGGGAUGGAGGCCUUCGGGUUGUAAACCGCUUUUGUUCAAGGGCAAGGCACGGUUUCGGCCGUGUUGAGUGGAUUGUUCGAAUAAGCACCGGCUAACUACGUGCCAGCAGCCGCGGUAAUACGUAGGGUGCGAGCGUUAUCCGGAUUUAUUGGGCGUAAAGGGCUCGUAGGCGGUUCGUCGCGUCCGGUGUGAAAGUCCAUCGCCUAACGGUGGAUCUGCGCCGGGUACGGGCGGGCUGGAGUGCGGUAGGGGAGACUGGAAUUCCCGGUGUAACGGUGGAAUGUGUAGAUAUCGGAAAAAAAACA
rnacentral:rRNA from 1 species